UACGAAGGGAGCUAGCGUUGUUCGGAAUUACUGGGCGUAAAGGGCGCGUAGGCGGGUUUCCAAGUCGGGGGUGAAAUUCCAGGGCUCAACCCUGGGACGGCCUUCGAUACUGGGAGCCUGGAGAUCGGGAGAGGUGAGUGGAAUUCCGAGUGUAGAGGUGAAAUUCGUAGAUAUUCGGAGGAACACCAGAAGCGAAGGCGGCUCACUGGCCCGAGACUGACGCUGAGGCGCGAAAGCUAGGGGAGCAAACGGG
rnacentral:rRNA from 1 species